GUGUGUGUGUGUGUGUGUGUGACACUAAUAAAACACUUACCAAAGCAAUUAUUUCAAGAACAAAAAGAAUGAUAAGCAGUUCACAUAAUUCACGAAGAGAAAGCCAAUUCCACAUUAUCAAAUUAAAAUAAAACAUAGCAAUAUCAAGUAAAGGAUCCCCAGCUACUGUUUUAGGAUAAUCUAUAAAAUCACAAGAAAACCAAGUCAAC
rnacentral:misc_RNA from 1 species